AUGGUUGUCGUCAGCUCGUGUCGUGAGAUGUUGGGUUAAGUCCCGCAACGAGCGCAACCCCUAUUGUUAGUUGCCAUCAUUCAGUUGGGCACUCUAGCGAGACUGCCGGUAAUAACCGGAGGAAGGUGGGAUGACGUCAAAUCAUCAUGCCCCUUAUGACCUGGGCUACACACGUGCUACAAUGGUUGGUACAACGAGUUGCGAGUCGGUGACGGCGAGCUAAUCUCUUAAAGCCAAUCUCAGUUCGGAUUGUAGGCUGCAACUCGCCUACAUGAAGUCGGAAUCGCUAGUAAUCGCGGAUCAGCACGCCGCGGUGAAUACGUUCCCGGGCCUU
rnacentral:rRNA from 1 species